rnacentral:lncRNA from 1 species
UUUGCUUUCUUUCUUUCUGUCUUUUUAGUUUCAUAGCUUCUUUUUAAAUAAUUGCUCAUUCCCAUCAGGGCUCUUUCUGCUUUUCUUUUGCAGAAUAUGUGAGAUCCAGGCUGUUGACUGUACUACAAUAUCCUCAUUUACAGUGAGGGAAUGUGAGGGAUCCAGUAGGAUGGGCUCAAGACCAAGGCGCUACUUGUUCACAGGCCAUACAAAUGGCAGUAUUCAAAUGUGGGAUCUGACCACUGCUAUGGAUAUGGUUAACAAAAGUGAAGAUAAGGAUGUAGGUGGUCCAACCGAAGAAGAGCUACUCAAAUUACUGGAUCAAUGUGAUUUGAGCACAUCUCGCUGUGCUACUCCUAACAUCAGUCCAGCAACUUCCGUAGUUCAGCAUAGCCACUUACGAGAAUCAAAUUCUAGCCUUCAGCUUCAGCACCAUGAUACCACCCAUGAAGCAGCUACUUACGGUUCCAUGAGGCCUUACAGAGAAAGUCCUUUAUUAGCAAGGGCAAGAAGGACUGAGAGCUUUCACAGUUAUAGGGACUUCCAGACCAUUAAUUUGAACAGAAAUGUAGAAAGAGCUGUCCCUGAAAAUGGUAACUUGGGUCCAAUACAAGCUGAAGUGAAAGGGGCAACAGGGGAAUGUAAUAUAUCUGAGAGAAAGUCUCCUGGAGUAGAAAUAAAAAGUUUGAGAGAAUUGGAUAGCGGAUUGGAAGUGCAUAAAAUAGCUGAAGGUUUUUCAGAAUCCAAGAAAAGGUCAUCAGAAGAUGAAAAUGAAAAUAAAAUAGAGUUUAGGAAGAAAGGAGGAUUUGAAGGGGGAGGAUUCCUUGGAAGAAAGAAAGUUCCCUAUCUGGCGUCAUCACCAAGUACUUCCGAUGGAGGAACUGACUCACCUGGUACUGCGUCCCCAUCUCCUACAAAGACUACUCCAUCUCCUCGGCAUAAAAAAAGUGAUUCUUCAGGUCAGGAGUACAGCUUGUGAAAACUCACCAAAAUGAAUAGUUGUUUCGUUACAUUUAGAUGAAAGUUAAACUUUACGGAAUUUCAAUACAUUAGUUUUUACACUAAAACUUUACAAGAUAAAAUUGGACUUCAUUUAGUAUCUUUUUAACAGAAUUACUUGGAAUAAUGAGAUACAAUAAUCAUAUCUCUUUUGACAUUUUGGAAAUUUUUUUAAUUUUACAAGUACAUUUAACAGAUCAUUUAUAAAGCAGGAGUCCAUUUUAACACUUACUGACUUUUUUUGGUUUGGAAACAUAUUACCACGUCUUAAUAGGAUGGUGCCCAUAUAGGUGAGCAUCCCUUUAGAUCUUGGGAACCAGCAGACUGCAUUCCUAAUCUUCAUUAUGCCUGAGACUUGUCUUACAAUGUUACCUUUAAGUGAAUCACAUAAUUGUCUUUGGAACUUGGUCUCCCAACACUUACUGUGAUUGCAAAGUGUUUACCAGAUAUUUGAUGAGGUGCUAUGUUUGUGAAAAACAUAUCAUGUAAUUCAAAAACACUAUUGAUAUUGAAUACCAGAUACCACUAUGUAGUAAGUCUUUUAGGAUGAUUUUAAUUUAGUCGUGUGUCAUUUUCUGAUUCUCAUCAUUGGGAGUUCUUAAAUCUUAGCAAGCAUUAGCAAUAUUAAAUGCCAAAAUUCCAUUGAAACUUUCAAGUUGGAGCAAUUGUCUGUGUUUGAAAAGAUGAAAUAAAAAUAAUAAUCAAGGGCAAAGCUUUGAGUGCCCACAAGGGAAAGCCGUACCAGUUGCUAACCUGUCUUGUUUCAGGAGCCACCAUGUUUUUUUUUCAGUGUUAACAAUCAUGAUAAUUAAAUUAAAACACUAUUUUGUUCACUUGUAGGACUGCAGUUCUGAAUUUUGGGUUAAAGGUUUUGGCUGCUGUAAGAAUGUGAAUUUGAAUGUAUUUUGAAUUGUAAGAGCAAAAGAACGUUUUUGUACAAUUUUUUUUUCAUUUAAUUGGAAUGAUCUUCAGGUUUCUACAAAUAGGGUAAUUGUAAAUUUAAAGCAUUAGCAUUUAUUGGUGAAUAAUGUAUAUAUCCCCAUUCCAAGAAAUAUAAGUGAGUGAAGUUGAAAUAAAAUCUUUAAAAUUUACUAUAUUGCCA